rnacentral:rRNA from 1 species
GACAGAGGUGCCGAGCGUUAGGCGGAAUCACUGGGCUUAAAGGGCGCGUAGGCGGGCUGACAAGUCUGGGGUGAAAUCCCACGGCUCAACCGUGGAACUGCCUUAGAUACUGUCGGCCUCGAGGAAGGUAGGGGCAUGCGGAACUGUAGGUGGAGCGGUGAAAUGCGUUGAUAUCUACAGGAACUCCGGUGGCGAAAGCGGCGUGCUGGACCUUUUCUGACGCUGAGGCGCGAAAGCUAGGGGAGCAAACGGG